AGAGUUUGAUCAUGGCUCAGAUUGAACGCUGGCGGCAGGCCUAACACAUGCAAGUCGAGCGGUAGCACAGAGAGCUUGCUCUCGGGUGACGAGCGGCGGACGGGUGAGUAAUGUCUGGGAAACUGCCUGAUGGAGGGGGAUAACUACUGGAAACGGUAGCUAAUACCGCAUAACGUCGCAAGACCAAAGUGGGGGACCUUCGGGCCUCAUGCCAUCAGAUGUGCCCAGAUGGGAUUAGCUAGUAGGUGGGGUAACGGCUCACCUAGGCGACGAUCCCUAGCUGGUCUGAGAGGAUGACCAGCCACACUGGAACUGAGACACGGUCCAGACUCCUACGGGAGGCAGCAGUGGGGAAUAUUGCACAAUGGGCGCAAGCCUGAUGCAGCCAUGCCGCGUGUGUGAAGAAGGCCUUCGGGUUGUAAAGCACUUUCAGCGGGGAGGAAGGCGGUGAGGUUAAUAACCUCAUCGAUUGACGUUACCCGCAGAAGAAGCACCGGCUAACUCCGUGCCAGCAGCCGCGGUAAUACGGAGGGUGCAAGCGUUAAUCGGAAUUACUGGGCGUAAAGCGCACGCAGGCGGUCUGUCAAGUCGGAUGUGAAAUCCCCGGGCUUAACCUGGGAACUGCAUUCGAAACUGGCAGGCUAGAGUCUUGUAGAGGGGGGGUAGAAUUCCAGGUGUAGCGGUGAAAUGCGUAGAGAUCUGGAGGAAUACCGGUGGCGAAGGCGGCCCCCUGGACAAAGACUGACGCUCAGGUGCGAAAGCGUGGGGAGCAAACAGGAUUAGAUACCCUGGUAGUCCACGCCGUAAACGAUGUCGAUUUGGAGGUUGUGCCCUUGAGGCGUGGCUUCCGGAGCUAACGCGUUAAAUCGACCGCCUGGGGAGUACGGCCGCAAGGUUAAAACUCAAAUGAAUUGACGGGGGCCCGCACAAGCGGUGGAGCAUGUGGUUUAAUUCGAUGCAACGCGAAGAACCUUACCUGGUCUUGACAUCCACAGAACUUUGCAGAGAUGGUUUGGUGCCUUCGGGAACUGUGAGACAGGUGCUGCAUGGCUGUCGUCAGCUCGUGUUGUGAAAUGUUGGGUUAAGUCCCGCAACGAGCGCAACCCUUAUCCUUUGUUGCCAGCGGUCCGGCCGGGAACUCAAAGGAGACUGCCAGUGAUAAACUGGAGGAAGGUGGGGAUGACGUCAAGUCAUCAUGGCCCUUACGACCAGGGCUACACACGUGCUACAAUGGCAUAUACAAAGAGAAGCGACCUCGCGAGAGCAAGCGGACCUCAUAAAGUAUGUCGUAGUCCGGAUUGGAGUCUGCAACUCGACUCCAUGAAGUCGGAAUCGCUAGUAAUCGUAGAUCAGAAUGCUACGGUGAAUACGUUCCCGGGCCUUGUACACACCGCCCGUCACACCAUGGGAGUGGGUUGCAAAAGAAGUAGGUAGCUUAACCUUCGGGAGGGCGCUUACCACUUUGUGAUUCAUGACUGGGGUGAAGUCGUAACAAGGUAACCGUAGGGGAACCUGCGGUUGGAUCACCU
rnacentral:rRNA from 1 species